rnacentral:rRNA from 1 species
UGCAGUCGAACGGUGAAGCCUUUCGGGGUGGAUCAGUGGCGAACGGGUGAGUAACACGUGGGCAAUCUGCCCUGCACUCUGGGACAAGCCCUGGAAACGGGGUCUAAUACCGGAUAUGACCUGAGGAUGCAUGUUCUCGGGUGGAAAGCUCCGGCGGUGCAGGAUGAGCCCGCGGCCUAUCAGCUUGUUGGUGGGGUGAUGGCCUACCAAGGCGACGACGGGUAGCCGGCCUGAGAGGGCGACCGGCCACACUGGGACUGAGACACGGCCCAGACUCCUACGGGAGGCAGCAGUGGGGAAUAUUGCACAAUGGGCGAAAGCCUGAUGCAGCGACGCCGCGUGAGGGAUGACGGCCUUCGGGUUGUAAACCUCUUUCAGCAGGGAAGAAGCGCAAGUGACGGUACCUGCAGAAGAAGCACCGGCUAACUACGUGCCAGCAGCCGCGGUAAUACGUAGGGUGCGAGCGUUGUCCGGAAUUAUUGGGCGUAAAGAGCUCGUAGGCGGCUUGUCGCGUCGGAUGUGAAAGCCCGGGGCUUAACUCCGGGUCUGCAUUCGAUACGGGCAGGCUAGAGUUCGGUAGGGGAGAUCGGAAUUCCUGGUGUAGCGGUGAAAUGCGCAGAUAUCAGGAGGAACACCGGUGGCGAAGG